AUUGCUCAUGCUGAAAUAACGCUACAGCUGUGAUCCGUGGGGCUGAGUUUUGGACACUGGCUCGAGUGACAGGUGUACUCGUUGUUUGCCCAGCUCGGCUGAAAUUGUGAUGCCUAACUCAAAUGUUUUCCCAAUUAACUGGUGAGGAUUCUGGAGCCAGCUAGGAAAGGGCCUUUUGCCACAAGGACGGAAGACAUGUGUGCUCAGCCUUCAACAAAAAUGUCAGCCUUAGGGGAGAAUGGAGCCGUUGCUCCCUGAUCGUAAAAACAAGAAAAUGGAGAUGGACCUGCAAUGUCCAGAAAGGUAGGGAAAAGAGACAAUCUAAUUGUGACCAAACCCUUCUAGGUUCUAAAGCAAACAGGUCUGUCCUAUAGUUCAGCUCUUGGAGGAUUUUAGGGAUUGAAGCAAGUCCAGAAUUCUAGGAAAUGUGUCACCAAAAUUGGUAUUAUUAGAGAAAGUGGCACAAAGCUACAAGUGCAGAGUCUGAUCUGUAACAUGCUAAUUACAUCUAUUUUUAUCCCAGGGUUGCAGUGACCUAACAUCAAGAAAUAAAAACUCUGGAAAACUAGCCCUUCGCAUAUAGAAGGAUCCUCCCAAAGAGCUGGAGCUCCUCUGCCCACAGCCUCCCCCAUCGGAUCAGACCUACAGUAGAAGACAGCAAGGAGUAAGCACUGUAAGCUCACAAACACCAAACUGCCCUAGGAUGAACGAUUUCGUAAGAGCGCUCCAGAAUGACUGGAUCCCAUCAGGAACAUUUCCAAGGACUCCCACUCAGAAAGGAGAACCCUCCUAAACCCCACCCUGGCCAUUUGUUUUGCAAAACAAAAUGAUCUAAUGUGCUUUCCCUUUAGCAGCUAAAACUGCUUAAUUAUAAAUAGCUAGAAGUUUUCUGGCAAUCCAACUUUACAAAAUUUUCCCCUAACGUCUGGCAUUUGUUUUUGGGUUCUGCCCUGAGUCUUCUAAGCAUUUGCUUGGAAAGCUGUUGCACUUUCCCAGGCAAAAUGUCAAAAUCAACAUUCAAAAAGCUUGCCUUGAGUAAUUUCUAGGAUUCUGCACUAAGAAGGUUUUAUAGUUAGGGGGCACUUUGCUUCGCUGAAC
rnacentral:lncRNA from 1 species